GACGAACGCUGGCGGCGUGCUUAACACAUGCAAGUCGAACGCUGAAGCUCAGCUUUUGUUGGGUGGAUGAGUGGCGAACGGGUGAGUAACACGUGGGUAACCUGCCUCCUUCUUUGGGAUAACGCCCGGAAACGGGUGCUAAUACUGGAUAUUCACUGGUCUUCGCAUGGGGGUUGGUGGAAAGGGUUUUUCUGGUGGGGGAUGGGCUCGCGGCCUAUCAGCUUGUUGGUGGGGUGAUGGCCUACCAAGGCUUUGACGGGUAGCCGGCCUGAGAGGGUGACCGGUCACAUUGGGACUGAGAUACGGCCCAGACUCCUACGGGAGGCAGCAGUGGGGAAUAUUGCACAAUGGGCGCAAGCCUGAUGCAGCGACGCCGCGUGAGGGAUGGAGGCCUUCGGGUUGUGAACCUCUUUCGCUCAUGGUCAAGCCGCAACAAUGGUUGUGGUGAGGGUAGUGGGUAAAGAAGCGCCGGCUAACUACGUG
rnacentral:rRNA from 1 species